rnacentral:rRNA from 1 species
UACGUAGGGUGCAGGCGUUAAUCGGAAUUACUGGGCGUAAAGCGUGCGCAGGCGGCUCCUUAAGUCAGAUGUGAAAGCCCCGGGCUUAACCUGGGAACUGCGUUUGAAACUGGGGAGCUUGAGUGUGGAAGAGGGGGGUGGAAUUCCAGGUGUAGCAGUGAAAUGCGUAGAGAUCUGGAGGAACACCGAUGGCGAAGGCAGCCCCCUGGGCUAACACUGACGCUCAUGCACGAAAGCGUGGGGAGCAAACAGGAUUAGAUACCCCCGUAGUCC